rnacentral:ncRNA from 1 species
UGGAGCCGUGUGCGGGAAAUCUGCAUGCACGGUUCUUUUGGGGGGACCAUGAUUAGGAAACCAAAUCGCUGAUUUUCAAGAUUAUGAGUCUCUACCAGAC